ensembl:lncRNA
UGGCAAUCGGGUAAAAAACCUAUGACAAGUAUAUCAAAUUCCAGAGCAUGCACUUUUUACAUAGCUCUAAAUAGCUGACUUCCUGUUGGGCGGAGCCUAUGACAUGCAAUACGAAAGUUGUUCGGCACAAUGAGAUCUAUAUGUAUACUGAGUUUCAUAUGAAUACGUGCAAGUAUGUUUGAACUAUACAUCAACAUUUCUGACUGUGUUCCAGGGGGCGCCGUAGAGCCCCUGUGCCACGCCCGGGUCUCAGCCUCUGCAGCCUCCUAAUGGCCACAGAUUCUAAGGUGUGUGCAAAUUUUCAAGAGUUUUUGAGCAUGUUAAGGGCCCCAAAAGCCCCCACAACUUUGACGAAAAAUAAGAAUACUAAACCCUAAAUAGCCAACUUCCUGUUGGGCGGAGCCUAUGACAUGCAGUACGAAAGUUGUUCGGCUUGAUGAGAUCUAUAUGUGUACCGAGUUUCAUACGUCUACGUGCAAGUAUGUAUGAUAUAUGGCCCUCCAUAUUCCAGGGGGCGCUGUAGAGCCCCUGUGCCACGCCCGUGUAUCAGUCUCUGCCCGGCCCUAAUGGCCGCAGAUUCCAAUGUGUGUGCCAAUUUUCAAGAGUUUUUGAGCAUGUUAAGGGCCCCAAAAGCCCCCGAAACCUUGGAAAAAAAUUAGAAGAAUAAAGAAAAAAAAAAAAAAAAAUAAUCCUAAGGAAAACAAUAGGGCUCUUCGCCCUCCAGGCUUGAGCCCUAAAUAUAGCUGCAAGCAGCGAUGGCGGGCCCGAGCCGUCAGCGCAAACGCCACCCCGGUGGCAUCAGGAAAACUGUGCCCAGCGGCACAUACACAAUAACCCUCUAGCUCAGGGGUGUCCAACUCUGUUAAUGGCGAUCGACUGUCCUGUAAAGUUUAGCUCCAACCCUACUCAAACACACCUGAAGCAACUAAUGAAUGUCUUCAGGAUUGCUUGAAAAUUAAAGGUAGGUGUGACUGAUUAGAGUUGGAGCUGAACUUUGCAGGACAGUCGAUCACCAGGAACAGGAUUGGACACACUUAAUUUAGCAGUUUGGAAUUAAGGCAUACAGCAAUGAAAGGGUUAAUCCGAACCAUCAA